UUCUGGGGAGAGAGAGAAAAAGAGUUUGGAGAAGAAAAACAACAAUUUUGAUCGAAAUCUGAGCCCCGAAUCCCGAAGCUCAUGAAGGGAAAAGUGUUGUACGCUGCGUUGUCUUCAAUUUGAGCUAAAAAUCAACCAAGGAGGAGAGUGAUGUGGCUGCAUACUUAAGAUUUUGGAGGAAAUGAGAUUCGAAUUUGGAUAAGCGUAAAGGCAAAUAAGAGAUAUUCCUUACUCUGGAGUUAUGCUGUGUUGUGGCGCCAGUGACGGGGUGGUGACCACGUUCUGUUCACCGAGUCCCAUAAUGGGGCCGGAUAUGGCAUAUGUUUUGACAUGCACUAUCUAUGUUAUAUGAGUACACCCAAAUGACAUGAAGUUAUUAUAGAGGAUGUUCAGGCAGAGUUGGCAAGUUCCAUUUGCUCCUGGAGUGCUGCCGAGUCAGAGUUUAUACGUAUGUUUUUCUGGAUUGAUGUUAGAGGCUUUGCAGACAGAGUCGUGGGUAUAGUAUGUCAGUUGUGUAUGCGGCUUCAUCAGCCGAUAUGUCAUUCUGUAUUAUGUGUUAAAUUCUGUAUGAUUAUAGAUUCUGUUUGAUUCGGAAAGCAUCGAACAAGCAUAUUUUGAGAGUUUAUUAUAUAUUUUAUUUUUAUCUGAUUUAAAAAGUCUACUAAGAUUUUGUGUGUCCCGAAAGUCUGUGGGUUCGCUCGGCUCCGGAUAUGGGGCCGGGUGCCCAUCACA